rnacentral:rRNA from 1 species
AUUGAACGCUGGCGGCAGGCCUAACACAUGGAAGUCGAACGAGUGGCGGACGGGUGAGUAAUGUCUGGGAAACUGCCUGAUGGAGGGGGAUAACUACUGGAAACGGAAGCUAAUACCGCAUACCAUCGGAUUUGCCCAGAUGGGAUUAGCUAGUAGGGGGGGUAAAGGCUCACCUAGGCGACGAUCCCUAGCUGGUCUGGGAGGAUGACCAGCCACACUGGACCUGAGCUGCGGUCCACACUCCUACAGUAGGCAGCAGUGGGGAAUAGUGCACAAUGGGGGCAAGCCUGAUGCAGCCAUGCCGCGUGUAUGAAGAAGGCCUUCGGGUUGUAAAGUACUUGCAGCGGGGAGGCGUUACCCGCAGAAGAAGCACCGGCUAACUCCGUGCCAGCAGCCGCGGUAAUUC